GGGAUUGCCUCAGUAACGGCGAGUGAAGCGGCAACAGCUCAAAUUUGAAAUCUGGCCCCUCCGGGGUCCGAGUUGUAAUUUGUAGAGAGUGUUUCGGGCGAGGCCAUGGUCUAAGUCUAUUGGAACAUUGCGUCACAGAGGGUGAGAAUCCCGUAUGUGACCGUGGCUCGAGCCCAUGUGAAACCUCUUCGACGAGUCGAGUUGUUUGGGAAUGCAGCUCAAAAUGGGUGGUAAAUUUCAUCUAAAGCUAAAUACUGGCUGGAGACCGAUAGCGCACAAGUAGAGUGAUCGAAAGAUGAAAAGCACUUUGGAAAGAGAGUUAAACAGUACGUGAAAUUGUUGAAAGGGAAGCGCUGGCAACCAGACCUGCCCGUAGGCGAUCAGCCGCUGUUCUCAGCGGUGCACUCGUUCUGCGAUCAGGCCAGCAUCGGUUUCGGCGGUCGGAUAAAGGCCCGGGGAAUGUGGCUUCCUUUUGGGGGAGUGUUAUAGCCUCGGGCGCAAUGCGGCCAGUCGGGACCGAGGACCGCGCUUCGGCUAGGAUGCUGGCGUAAUGGUUGUCAGCGACCCGUCUUGAAACACGGACCAAGGAGUCUAACAUCUAUGCGAGUGUUUGGGUGUCAAACCCAUACGCGGAAUGAAAGUGAACGGAGGUGAGAACCCUUUCGGGGGCGCAUCAUCGACCGAUCCAGAUGUCUUCGGAUGGAUUUGAGUAAAAGCAUAUCUGUUGGGACCCGAAAGGUAUGUUGAAUCUUAUCCCAUCCCUUUUAGAGUAUAUACUAAUCUAUAACGCAGAUGGUGAACUAUGCCUGAAUAGGGUGAAGCCAGAGGAAACUCUGGUGGAGGCUCGCAGCGGUUCUGACGUGCAAAUCGAUCGUCAAAUUUGGGUAUAGGGGCGAAAGACUAUCGACAU
rnacentral:rRNA from 1 species